rnacentral:rRNA from 1 species
UACAGAGGGUGCAAGCGUUGUUCGGAAUCAUUGGGCGUAAAGCGCACGUAGGCGGCGAUGCAAGUCAGAUGUGAAAGCCCAGAGCUCAACUCUGGAAGUGCAUCCGAAACUGCAUCGCUUGAGUCCCGGAGAGGGUGGUGGAAUUCCCAGUGUAGAGGUGAAAUUCGUAGAGAUUGGGAGGAACAUCAGUGGCGAAGGCGACCACCUGGACGGAGACUGACGCUGAGGUGCGAAAGCGUGGGGAGCAAACAGG